CUGACAGCGACCCGCACCGAGCUCUCGUCCUGCCCCGCCGACAUGGUGUGUGUGGGGGGGGUUAAACACAGGCUCGUUCCGCCGCCUCUCCGAGCCGCGGGGCUGCCGCGCUCACCUCCGCGCUCCAGCCAUUUUAGCUGCUGCUAUUGUGGACUUCAGCGUCUCCCCCUCCAAACCCGAACUAGAUAAGGAGGAGAAAGAAGAGGACUCGGGAUGACGUGUUCCAGGAGAUCCUGCAAGCCAGUGCUGCAUCAGAGAACAAGACCAGGACCUGGAGGAUGACUCUUGCAGAUAGCAUGGAGAAGGAUAGAGUAAAGAGGAAAAAGACACAGGAAAAGGAGAGAGACGUGCAGCAGAAGAUUCUUGCACUUCUCAGACAGAAACAGAGAUUCUGCAGACUCUGGUAGACCAGCAGGUUCAACAAUCUCAUGCUCACCUCCCUCUGCAGCCCAUAAAGAACUCAAAUAUCUGGACCUUGUUAUACCCUCUCCCCAACAUUCUAUGUGGCAUCAAGGGUUGGUGCACUACCCUUACCACGCCACCUGGGUUGGGGGAGAGGACACUAAAGACAAUCAAUCACAGCUUCACAUAUGCUGACCUGUGAAAGCGUGUAUGUGUACCUGAAAAUGGCAUGUUCUUUCCCAUUCACUAGUUCUGUUCCCUUAAUUUAUUAAGUUUUGAAUGUUUUUUUUCUCCCCAUUGCCUAAUUCCUGUUACAGAAUGAAAUGCUAUUUUUUGCUG